rnacentral:rRNA from 1 species
UGAGGAAUAUUGGUCAAUGGGCGCAAGCCUGAACCAGCCAUGUCGCGUGCAGGAAGACUGCCCUAUGGGUUGUAAACUGCUUUUAUAGUAGAAGAAACACAUCUACGCGUAGAUGUCUGCCAGUAUACUAUGAAUAAGCAUCGGCUAACUCCGUG